GCUACCAUGACUUUGAUCCCCGUCUUCAUCUGGACACUCAUCCUCUGGACUCAAGAAUGCAGAGGUCAAGUCACAGUAACUCAGACUCCUGCAGUGAAAUCUGUUCUUCCAGGAGAAACAGUCACCAUCAACUGUAGAACCAGUCAGGCAGUGUACACAGACUCAUAUGGUUACCGUUUACACUGGUAUCAGCAGAAACCUGGAGAAGCUCCUAAACUCCUGAUUAAGCUCACAAAUAAGCUACAGUCAGAUUUUCCAGCUCGUUUCAGUGGCAGUGGAUCUGGAUCUGAUUUCACUCUGACCAUCAGUGGAGUCCAGACUGAAGAUGCAGGAGAUUACUACUGUCAGAGUUACCAUUACAUCAGGAGCACCGAGCUGUUCACACAAUGUUACAGAGUCGUACAAAAACCUCCCUCAGUCAGAUUGUAGAGAGACUGAACUGCUGCAGCUGGGAGCGACUGCAGGUGCUGAGUUGGAGGAUGUGAUACGACACAAUGACACUCUGUGGAGGAGAAGAACCACAUCACACUAACUCACAACUCACAUUAGAUAUAUUUUAAUAAUCAUCACACCACACUGAACACAGUCCAUCACAUCCACUACUGUAAGAUAAACCGUUUUCUGAUUCUAUGACUUUCAUGAUGUCAUUGUUCCCCUAACAAGCCUAUCCAUUCAUGAGAGGAUCCUUGACCCUGGAGGAUACAAAUCUGUGAAAUCCUGCCAGCUUCUCUCAGAUUGCUGAAGCUGCUUGGAUGAGCAGUGAAAUGUUUUGAGCUAACAAGAAAGGAGUACAGAUAACAUGACUGAACCUCCAGAUACCCUAACCUGGAUGACUGAGAAUCUUCACAUAUUCACAACAUAUACAUGAUGUAAACUCUGACCAAUUAUUCUCUGUGAUAUUGCAGAAUAUCUUAUUAUUAAGAAACAGCAGUCAAUACUGAAUCCAUUUUCCUUUAAA